rnacentral:misc_RNA from 1 species
GCAAACCCCAUCACAGAUACUGUGGUCUUAGUUGGAGUGAAUUUAUAGUAUGUGGAUACAUGCUCAUAACACUCUACUGAAAUUGAUUGACAGGAUAACCAGACAUGGGCAAUAGACUUUGUAAUUGUCCAAAGGACAUAUAUCAGUCAUAUACAAUGUUUGGUCCUGAGAUUAUGGACUCCCAUUCCAUAUGAAUAUUG